UGCAAGUCGAACGAAUCCCUCGUAGCAAUAUGAGGGGGAAGUGGCGAAAGGGGCAGUAAUGUAUGGGUAACGUACCCGGGGGUCGUGGAUAGCCUUCCUAACGGAUGGGUAAUACACGGCGAUUCGGCGAGGGGACAUCCUCUUGCCGGGAAAGAAUUUCGCCUCCGGAGCGGCUCAUAUCGUAUUAGCUAGUUGGUGAGGUAACGGCUCACCAAGGCGAAGAUGCGUAGCGGGUGUGAGAGCACGACCCGCGCCACUGGCACUGAGACACUGGCCAGACACCUACGGGUGGCUGCAGUCGAGGAUCUUCGGCAAUGGGCGAAAGCCUGACCGAGCGACGCCGCGUGGACGAUGAAGGCCUUCGGGUUGUAAAGUCCUGUCGAGGGGGAUCAAGGGCAACUUGAGUGAUCCCUGGAGGAAGCACGGGCUAAGUUCGUGCCAGCAGCCGCGGUAAGACGAACCGUGCAAACGUUAUUCGGAAUCACUGGGCAUAAAGGGCGCGUAGGCGGCUUUCUAAGUCAGGGGUGAAAUCCGGCAGCUCAACUGUCGCAGUGCCUUUGAUACUGGGAAGCUCGAGGGAUGUAGGGGUCUGUGGAACUUCCGGUGGAGCGGUGAAAUGCGUUGAUAUCGGAAGGAACGCCGGUGGCGAAAGCGACGGACUGGACAUUUUCUGACGCUGAGGCGCGAAAGCCAGGGGAGC
rnacentral:rRNA from 1 species